UAAACGACUCUCGGCAACGGAUAUCUCGGCUCUCGCAUCGAUGAAGAACGUAGCGAAAUGCGAUACUUGGUGUGAAUUGCAGAAUCCCGCGAACCAUCGAGUCUUUGAACGCAAGUUGCGCCUGAAGCCAUUAGGUUGAGGGCACGUCUGCCUGGGCGUCUCGC
rnacentral:rRNA from 2 species